rnacentral:misc_RNA from 1 species
GAUGUGUAUAAGAGACAGGUGAAUCAUCGAAUCUUUGAACGCACAUUGCGCCCCUUGGCAUUCCGAGGGGCAUGCCUGUUCGAGCGUCAUUACAACCCUCAAGCACUGCUUGGCAUUGGGCUCCGCUGCUAACCCAGCGGGCCUUAAAAUAAGUGGCGGCGCCCUCAAGGCUCUGAGCGUAGUAAAUCUCCUCGCUAUAGAGUCCUGGUGGUGGUAGUCAUCAACCCCCCCAACUUUCUAAGUUUGACCUCGGAUCAGGUAGGGAUACCCGCUGAACUUAAGCAUAUCAAUAAGCGGAGG